GCUGGGCACGGUGGUGUGUGCCUGUAGUCUCAGCUACUCAGGAGGCUGACGUGGGAGGAUUGUUUGAGCCCAGGAGUUCUGGGCUGUAGUGCACUAUGCCAAUCAGGUGUCCGCACUAAGUUCAGCACCCGUACCAUGACCCCCCGGGAGCGGGGGACCACCAGGUUGCCUAAGGAGGGGUGAACCAGCCCAGGAUGGAAAUGGAGCAGGUCAAAACUCCCGUGCUGAUCAGUAGUGGGAUCGCAUCUGUGAAUAGACUCCAGCCUGGGCAACAUAGCAAGACCCUGUCUCAA
ensembl:misc_RNA Metazoa_SRP Metazoan signal recognition particle RNA